rnacentral:rRNA from 1 species
UUCCGGUUGAUCCUGCCGGACCCUACUGCUAUCGGGGGAGGACUAAAACAUGCAAGUCGUGCGCCUCCAAGCUAUGGUGGAGACGCGGCAUACGGCUCAGUAACACGUGGCUAACCCACCCUUGAGACGGAGAAAACCCCGGGAAACUGGGGUUAAUCCCCGAUAGGAGAAGACACCUGGAAUGGGUCUUUUCCCAAAGGGCGCUUAGACCAUGCUUCUAGACGCCGCUCAAGGACGGGGCCGCGGCCGAUCAGGUUGUUGGUGAGGCAAUGGCUCACCAAGCCUGUAACCGGUACGGGCCGUGAGAGCGGGAGCCCGGAGAUGGGCACUGAGAUAAGGGCCCAGGCCCUACGGGGCGCAGCAGUUGCGAAAACUCCGCAAUGCACGAAAGUGUGACGGGGCUACCCCGAGUGCCGUCCGCUGAGGGCGGCUUUUCCCUGGUGUAAGGAGCCGGGGGAAUAAGGAGAGGGCAAGUCUGGUGUCAGCCGCCGCGGUAAUACCAGCUCUCCGAGUGGUAGGGAUGAUUAUUGGGCUUAAAGCGUCCGUAGCUGGCCUAGCAAGUCUUCCGUUAAAUCCACCGAUUCAAUCGUUGGACUGCGGGAGAUACUGUUGGGCUAGGGGGCGGGAGAGGCCGACGGUAUUCUCGGGGUAGGGGUAAAAUCCUAUAAUCCCGGGAGGACCACCAGUGGCGAAGGCGGUCGGCUAGAACGCGCUCGACGGUGAGGGACGAAAGCUGGGGGAGCGAACCGGAUUAGAUACCCGGGUAGUCCCAGCUGUAAACGAUGCGGGCUAGGUGUUGGGGCGGCUACGGGCCGCUUCAGUGCCGCAGGAAACCAUUAAGCCCGCCGCCUGGGGAGUACGGCCGCAAGGCUGAAACUUAUAGGAAUUGGCGGGGGAGCACCACAAGGGUGAAGCUUGCGGUUUAAUUGGACUCACGCGGUAUCUCUGGAGAUCGCGCGUACGAGUUCU